rnacentral:rRNA from 1 species
AUGAUGUGGCAGCUACCAUGCAGUCGAGCGGUAACAUAUAGUACUUGCUACUUUGCUGACGAGCGGCGGACGGGUGAGUAGUGUUUGAGAACGUGCCUUGAGGUGGGGGACAACAUUUGAAAACCACUGCUAAUACCGCAUAGUGUCUACAGACCAAGGGGGGCUUCGGCUCUCCCCUUUAUAUUGCCCCAAGUGAGAUUAUCUAUGUGGAGAGGUAGUGGCUCCCCAGGGCCACUAUCCCUAUGUGGUUUGAGAGGAUGAUCACCCACUCUGGGACUGACACACGGCCCACACUCCUACGGGAGGCAGCAGUGGGGAAUAUUGCACAGUGGGCGCAAGCCUGAUGCACCCGUGCCGCGUGUGUGAAAAAGGCCUUCGGGUUGUAAAGCUCUUUCACUCGAGAAGAAAGGUUAAUAUUUAAUACCUGCUAUCUGAGACUUUACUGACAAAAAAAACCCCGGCUAACUCCGUGCCAACACCCGCGGUAAUACAGAGGGUGCGAGCGUUAAUCAAAAUUACUGGGCGUAAAGCGUACGCACGCGGUUUGUUAAGCGAUAUGUGAAACCCCCGGUCUCAACCUGGAAACUGCAUUUCAAACUGGCAAACUAGAGUGUGAUAGAGGGUGGUAGAAUUUCGUGUGUAGCGGAGAUAUGCAUAGAUAUCUGAGAGAAUACCUAUGGAGAACGCACCCAUCUGUCUCAACUCUGACUCUCAUGUACGAGAGCGUGGAGAGCACACAAGAUUAUAUCCCCUUU